UACGUAGGCAGCAAGCGUUGUUCGGAAUUACUGGGCGUAAAGAGUGUGUAGGCGGUGCUCUAAGUCUGUUGUGAAAUCUCCCGGCUUAACCGGGAGGGUGCGGCGGAGACUGGAGUGCUAGAGUGUGGGAGAGGUAAGCGGAAUUCCUGGUGUAGCGGUGAAAUGCGUAGAUAUCGAGAGGAACACCUGUGGCGAAGGCGGGUAGCUGGGCCGACACUGACGCUGAGGCGCGAAAGCUAGGGGAGCGAACGGG
rnacentral:rRNA from 1 species